rnacentral:rRNA from 1 species
CCUACGGGAGGCAGCAGUGGGGAAUAUUGCACAAUGGGGGAAACCCUGAACCAGCAACGCCGCGUGAGGGAAGACGGUUUUCGGAUUGUAAACCUCUGUCCUCUGUGAAGAUGAUGACGGUAGCAGAGGAGGAAGCUCCGGCUAACUACGUGCCAGCAGCCGCGGUAAUACGUAGGGGGCGAGCGUUGUCCGGAUUUACUGGGUGUAAAGGGUGCGUAGGCGGCUUGGCAAGUCAGUAGUGAAAUCCAUGGGCUUAACCCAUGAACUGCUAUUGAAACUGUCGAGCUUGAGUGAAGUAGAGGUAGGCGGAAUUCCCGGUGUAGCGGUGAAAUGCGUAGAGAUCGGGAGGAACACCAGUGGCGAAGGCGGCCUGCUGGACUGCGACUGACGUUGAGGCCCGAAAGCGUGGGGAGCAAACAGGAUUAGAUACCCUUGUAGUC